UGCGCAGGCGGAAUGAUAAGUCAGUGGUGAAAUCCUACAGCUUAACUGUAGAACUGCCAUUGAUACUGUCGUUCUUGAGUACAGUUGAAGUGGGCGGAAUGUGUCAUGUAGCGGUGAAAUGCAUAGAUAUGACACAGAACACCGAUAGCGAAGGCAGCUCACUAAGCUGAAACUGACGCUCAGGCACGAAAGCGUGGGGAGCAAACAGGAUUAGAUACCCUGGUAGUC
rnacentral:rRNA from 1 species